GACGAACGCUGGCGGUAUGCUUAACACAUGCAAGUCGAACGAGAAGUUUUUUAUUGAACCUUCGGGGGAUAUAAGAGACAGACAGUGGCGAACGGGUGAGUAACGCGUGGGCAACCUACCUAUCGGAGCGGGAGAGCCUCGAGAAAUCGGGAGUAAAACCGCAUAACACGGAUAUAUCGCAUAAUGAAUCCGUCAAAACUCCGGUGCCGAUAGAUGGGCCCGCGUCUGAUUAGCUAGUUGGUAAGGUAAGGGCUUACCAAGGCAACGAUCAGUAGCCGGUGUGAGAGGGCGAACGGCCACACUGGAACUGAGACACGGUCCAGACUCUACGGGAGGCAGCAGUGGGGAAUAUUGGGCAAUGGGGGCAACCCUGACGGAGCAAUACCGCGGGAGUGAAGAAGGUUUUCGGAUGGUAAAGU
rnacentral:rRNA from 1 species